CGCUCUUUGUAUAAAUAAGGAGUCGUACCUGCCCGGUGAGAUAAUUAAACGGCCGCAGUACCCUGACUGUGCUAAGGUAGCAUAAUAAUUUGCCUUUUAAUUGGUGGCUUGUAUGAAUGGUUUGACGAAAACAUAGCUGUCUCUAAUAUAUUAUUUAUAAUUUAUCUUUUAGAUUAAAAUUUCUAAAUUUUAUUAAGGGACGAGAAGACCCUAUUGAAUUUUAAAAAAAUACAUAAAUGAAAUUAUAUUUUAAAAAUUGCUUAUUUAUGUAAAUAUUUUGGUUGGGGCAACCUAGGAACAGAAAAAGCUUCUAUUAUUAGCAAUAAAACUACUUUUUUUGAUCCAAUAAAUGUUGACAAUGGGAAUUAAUUACCAUAGGGAUAACAGCGUAAUUUUUCUUGAGAGAUCUAAUCGAAAGAGAAGCUUGCGACCUCGAUGUUGGAUUAGGAUGUUUCUAAAGGUUGCAGGAGCUUUUAUGAUUGGUCUGUUCGACCAUUAAAAUCCU
rnacentral:rRNA from 1 species